UACAGAGGUCCCGAGCGUUGUUCGGAUUCACUGGGCGUAAAGGGUGCGUAGGUGGCAUGUUAAGUUUGAUGUGAAAGCUCAGGGCUCAACCCUGAAAUGGCAUUGAAUACUAGCGUGCUGGAGGUUUGGAGGGGGGACUGGAAUUCGUCGGUGUAGCAGUGAAAUGCGUAGAUAUCGAGAGGAACACCAGUGGCGAAGGCGAGUCCCUGGACAACACCUGACACUGAGGCACGAAAGCUAGGGGAGCAAACAGG
rnacentral:rRNA from 1 species